AACGCCAUGUAGGGGUGCCCCCGAGCGGGAGCUGAGAGGAUACCCUCCGGACCCGACCUGGAUAAUGCCAGCGUGGGAAACGUGGAGCCGAUCGAU
rnacentral:ncRNA from 2 species